rnacentral:rRNA from 1 species
GACGAACGCUGGCGGCGUGCUUAACACAUGCAAGUCGAACGGAGUGGCGAACGGGUGAGUAACACGUGGGUGACCUGCCCUGCACUUCGGGCUAAGCCUGGGGAACUGGGUCUAAUACCGGUUAGUGUGGGAUGGGCCCGGGGCCUAUCAGCUUGUUGGGGGGGUAAUGGCCUACCAAGGCGGCGACGGGUAGCCGGCCUGAGGGGGUGGACGGCCACAUUGGGCCUGCGGCACGGCGCAGACUCCUACGGGAGGCAGCGGUGGGGAAUAUUGCACAAUGGGCGGGAGCCUGAUGAGGCGACGCCGGGUGGGGAAUGACGGCCUUCGGGUUGUAAACUCCUUUCACCAUCGACGCGGUAGAUGGAGAAGAAGCACCGGCUAACUACGUGCCAGCAGCCGCGGUAAUUC